GAUGAACGCUGGCGGCGUGCCUAAUACAUGCAAGUCGAGCGAACGGACGAGAAGCUUGCUUCUCUGAUGUUAGCGGCGGACGGGUGAGUAACACGUGGAUAACCUACCUAUAAGACUGGGAUAACUUCGGGAAACCGGAGCUAAUACCGGAUAAUAUUUUGAACCGCAUGGUUCAAUAGUGAAAGACGGUCUUGCUGUCACUUAUAGAUGGAUCCGCGCUGCAUUAGCUAGUUGGUAAGGUAACGGCUUACCAAGGCAACGAUGCAUAGCCGACCUGAGAGGGUGAUCGGCCACACUGGAAGUGAGACACGGUCCAGACUCCUACGGGAGGCAGCAGUAGGGAAUCUUCCGCAAUGGGCGAAAGCAUGACGGAGCAACGCCGCGUGAGUGAUGAAGGUCUUCGGAUCGUAAAACUCUGUUAUUAGGGAAGAACAUAUGUGUAAGUAACUGUGCACAUCUUGACGGUACCUAAUCAGAAAGCCACGGCUAACUACGUG
rnacentral:rRNA from 1 species